rnacentral:rRNA from 1 species
CGGCAUGCUUUACACAUGCAAGUCGAACGGUAACAGGCCUUCGGGCGCUGACGAGUGGCGAACGGGUGAGUAAUGCAUCGGAACGUGCCCGGUCGUGGGGGAUAACACUUCGAAAGAAGUGCUAAUACCGCAUACGAUCUGAGGAUGAAAGCGGGGGACCUUCGGGCCUCGCGCGAUCGGAGCGGCCGAUGUCAGAUUAGGUAGUUGGUGGGAUA